GGUAUGUAUCUCAGUGGCAGAGUGCUUGCCUAUAUGCCUAAGUCCCUAGUUUCAAUCCCUAGCAGUACCA
rnacentral:tRNA from 1 species